CAGUCGAACGCGUCUCCGUUAAUGAUUUUAGGUGCUUGCACUUGAAAGACUUACAUGGAGACGAGUGGCGAACUGGUGAGUAACACGUGGGUAACCUGCCCUUGAAGUAGGGGAUAACACUUGGAAACAGGUGCUAAUACCGUAUAACAACCAAAACCACCUGGUUUUGGUUUAAAAGACGGCUUCGGCUGUCACUUUAGGAUGGACCCGCGGCGUAUUAGCUUGUUGGUAAGGUAACGGCCUACCAAGGCGAUGAUACGUAGCCGACCUGAGAGGGUAAUCGGCCACAUUGGGACUGAGACACGGCCCAAACUCCUACGGGAGGCAGCAGUAGGGAAUCUUCCACAAUGGACGAAAGUCUGAUGGAGCAACGCCGCGUGAGUGAUGAAGGGUUUCGGCUCGUAAAACUCUGUUGUUGGAGAAGAACAGGUGUCAGAGUAACUGUUGACAUCUUGACGGUAUCCAACCAGAAAGCCACGGCUAACUACGUGCCAGCAGCCGCGGUAAUACGUAGGUGGCAAGCGUUGUCCGGAUUUAUUGGGCGUAAAGCGAGCGCAGGCGGUUUUUUAGGUCUGAUGUGAAAGCCUUCGGCUUAACCGGAGAAGUGCAUCGGAAACCGGGAGACUUGAGUGCAGAAGAGGACAGUGGAACUCCAUGUGUAGCGGUGAAAUGCGUAGAUAUAUGGAAGAACACCAGUGGCGAAGGCGGCUGUCUGGUCUGUAACUGACGCUGAGGCUCGAAAGCAUGGGUAGCGAACAGGAUUAGAUACCCUGGUAGUCCAUGCCGUAAACGAUGAGUGCUAAGUGUUGGAGGGUUUCCGCCCUUCAGUGCUGCAGCUAACGCAUUAAGCACUCCGCCUGGGGAGUACGACCGCAAGGU
rnacentral:rRNA from 1 species